UACGAAGGGGGCGAGCGUUGUUCGGAAUUACUGGGCGUAAAGGGCGCGCAGGCGGCCUUAGAAGUCAGAUGUGAAAGCCCCGGGCUCAACCUGGGAAUGGCAUUUGAUACUCUGAGGCUGGAGUACGGGAGAGGAGAGUGGAAUUCCCAGUGUAGAGGUGAAAUUCGUAGAUAUUGGGAAGAACACCGGUGGCGAAGGCGGCUCUCUGGACCGGACCUGACGCUGAGGCGCGAAGGCGUGGGGAGCGAACGGG
rnacentral:rRNA from 1 species